rnacentral:rRNA from 1 species
GUCUAUGGCUAUAACACCCUGAACGAGCCCAAUCUCAUCUGAUCUUGGAAUCUAAGCAGGGUUGGACCUGGUUGGUACUUGAAUGGGAAAAGAGCAAUACUCU